rfam:Triticum aestivum genome assembly, contig: Triticum_aestivum_CS42_TGACv1_scaffold_145853_2BS
CUUGUACUCCCUCUGUCUUAAAAUACUUGUCAUUGAAAUGGAUGUAUCUAGAUGUAUUUUAGUUCUAGACUCAUCCAUUUUGAUGACAAGUAAUUCUGGAUGGAGGGAGUACUUG